UUCUACCUGGUGGCGAUCACGCUGACCUGGCAGCAGAACGAGGAGGACCAGACCCAGGAUGUGGAACUUGUAGAGGCCAGGCCUGCAGGGGACAGGACCUUCCAGAAGUGGGCGGGCAGCCUUGGUGGUGCCCUCUGGAGAGGAGCAGAGAUACACGUGCUGUGUGCAGCAUAAGGGGCUGCCUGAGCCCCUCACACUGAGAUGGGAACUGUCUUCCCAACCCACCACCCACAUCAUGGGAAUCAUUGCUGGCCUGAUUCUUCUUGGAGCUGUGAUUGUUGGGGGUGUGGCAGCUGGAGCUGUGGUCUGGAGGAAGAAGAUCUCAGGUAGAGAUGCACGUGGAGUCUGAAUUUUCUUGUCCCACUGGAGGCUUUCAAGUUCCAGGUGGAAAAAGAGGAAGCUAUGCUCAAGUUGCAAGCAUUAACAGUGCCAAGGCUCUGAUAAUGUCUCUCAUGGCUUCUAAAGCAUGAGACUGCUGCCUUGUAUGGGACUGAGUGAUACAAUAAUUGUUUACACCCACUUUGUGACUUCAAGAACCCCUGACUUCUUUUUCUGCAACUGGUGUCUGAACGUGUUUGCAUUCCUAUUAGCAUAAUGUGAGGAUGUGGUGGGACUAACCCACCCCUGCCCACCAGGACCCUCUUACCACACUGACCUGCAUCCCUUCUCUGACCUAUGUUCCCUGCUCCAGCAGAGGUGGGGCUGGAACAUCUCCAUCCCUGAUGUAACUUCCUGUUGCUCUGAACUGCAAUUUCUUACUUCUCUAUUAAAAAUGAGAGUCUGAGAAUGAAUUUGAUUAUUCAAAUUUUUGCCAUGAGAUGGGGGGUUGAUGAGUUAAUUAAAAAAGAGGAAAAUAUCUUAAAAUUUAAGAGAAGAAAUAAAUGAAAACCUGAGAAUGUUCUAGAAUCCAUUUGUUUACUAUACUGAGUCUGUCACAUGCAGGGACAGGAGAAGGUGGUGGAUGAGCCCAGCAUGGACAGGGUGCGGUGUGAUGGAUCACUUUGUGUGGUCUUUCUUGCCAUGGUCUCGUAACUCCCACUCAAGUGGGUGGGAUUAUACAAAUAAGGUAAUUGUGGCUCACCAAGGGGAUUGGAUAGCUUGCUAAUAACACAAAGUUCAUGGCACCUGUGUGGGGAUGGAACCAUGCAAAUAAGGUCUAUGGAACCCUAACAAAGGUCAGUUUUACCAUUCCACUAGGAUUAAAAUGACCCAUCCCAGAGGUGAGAAAGAGAGGAUUCCACCACUGCCAAGGAAGAAGAGCCAAAAGUGGAGUGCAUCCUUUGGACCUGGGAUCCCUACACUGAGAAGCUCCAGGAACCAGGAGACAAAGAGAUAGAGAGAGAUAGCUGUAACACUGAAGACGGAAGAAGCGAUGGCAGAGAAAUGGUGGCAGAAGAGACUGGCAGGGGAGACUGUGGUGGGUUUCCCAGCCUACAGAUGGAGAAAGCUGAGCACCUUUGGGCAGGAGCCUUGCUGGAGGAGAAAGGUUCCUCUGGGUACUUGGUGGAGCAAGGUUUGCUGACCCACAGACCUAGAGAGUGAACACCUUCAGGCUGAGGCUUACUGGCAAAGUGGGGUGCCUCGAGGCAUUUAUCAGCAGAGCUAAAAGAGCUUUGUAACACCUGCCUGAGCAAAACAGAGGCCGAGGGGCCAGAAAGAUGAGCACCUACAGGCACAGCUGAAAAGAGGUUGUCCUGAUGGAAGAGCUUUAUUCUGAGCGUUCCAGAACCUGAAUUGUAACUUGUUACUUCCCUAGUAAACCCCAUAAUAGUGAAUAUUGUCUGUGAGUUCUGUGUAGCCAUUGCAAGGAAUUAUCGAACUCAGCAGAGAAGUAGAGAGUACCGUAGGAGGGACGGCUGGUGUCAGAACUGGUAAAGAUGGUGGAGACAGAAAGCAUGUCUGACCUUAGGAAUCAGCCUUGGGCUGUUGAUCUUACUUUCCUUCCCCGUUGUAAAGUUGGAGGAAGUUAGACUCCACCUCCACACCAUUUUUACAGGGGCUUGUGCCCAGCCGGUGCUCAGGACAGUGUGGGCUUUGACAUAAUCACUGCUCCACUGGGUCAUCUUUGGAUCUCUGUCGUCCUUGUCUCUUCAGUAGAACCUUGUCCUACUAAGACCUGUGAUCACAGGGCCUCAGACAUUGCCUGGGCCUUGUCCUGUCUCCAGGGCUGUGGACAGCGAGGGCUUCUUGUGGCCAGGUCAGCCUGGGCUCAGACCUAAGCCUGGCCCUUAGUCCCCAUCAUUUGUGUGUUUGUUUUUAUAGUGGAUUAUGCUUGUUUUUGUUCUCAUGUGUGAGUUCUGGUCAUGUAUUUGCUCUGGGUGUCACCCAUCUGUGACAGCUGCAGGAGUCACUUUGUCAUUGUCCCCAUUGUCCCCAGGCAGCCCCUGUACACAGAGUGUCUGUGGUGUCGAGAGAUGAGUUUUCAGAUUCAUCCAGAUCCCGCCCUCUUUCUAUUCUGUGGAUGAGUCUUUUCUUCUUUUCUCUAACCGUUUUUAGAGAGAAGGAAUCAAAUAGUUACUGAUCUUACAUAAAUUUCUGUUAUGUUUCCUUCCUUUUCAGCUCACCCACCCCCCUCUCCCUGCCCUUAGUAUUAUCAUCCUACUGCUGGCUCCAGUCCAAGCUCAUGAAUUCAUAAAGCAGAGACUAAAUUCACAGUUAAUUGAAAAAUAAUACACAUCAGCCAAGGAUUGUUCUUUCAUGAAGAUAGAAAUUAAAUUGUGUGCUGUAGUGUGCAGGAGGGUGUGUGUGGAAAUGGGUUACAGGGAGGGGGAGACAACAGCCCUUGUGAGAAAAGUCUGGGCGGCAUUAAUGUCAGCGUGAAUGGAUGUGUGCUGCAGCUGCCUCAAGGCAGCGUUGGGUCUGAGGCCACAGUAAUAGAGACACUGUCUCUAGAAUAGGGAGGUGCUCUGCACCAUACUGGUCAUUCAGUCUACUGACAUUUGUUUAGUGCUGCCUACAUGACACACACUAUUUCUGCAUCUGGAAAACACCAGUGAACUAAAAACAUAAAAAUUGCUGACCUGUGGAGCAUAUGUUUGAGCAGAGACAGACUAUAGACUGUAAGCAUAGUGUAUUAAUUUUCUCAUUGCUGUAACAAAUUAUUCCAAACUUAGUGACUUAAAAAUAACACAUUUAUUCUCUUAUAGUUCUGGAGGUCAGAAGUUUAAACUGGGCCUGCAGGGCUGUGUUCCUUCUGGAAGGUCUAGGGAAGCGUCCGUUUUCUUGCCUUUCCCAUCUUUCAGAGCCUGCCUAUCUUCCCUGGAUCUUGACCCCUCCUUCCAUUUUCAAAGCCAGCAGCUUAGAACCUCCUUUCUGAUGUCUGAUUCCAUCCUUACAUCCUCUGGCUCUAACUUUGGCCUU